UACAGAGGUGGCAAGCGUUGUUCGGAAUUACUGGGCGUAAAGGGCGCGUAGGUGGCCUUCUUAGUCAGACGUGAAAUCCCCAGGCUUAACCUGGGAACUGCGUCUGAUACUGGAAGGCUCGAGUUCGGGAGAGGAAUGUGGAAUUCCAGGUGUAGCGGUGAAAUGCGUAGAUAUCUGGAGGAACACCGGUGGCGAAGGCGGCAUUCUGGACCAUAACUGACGCUGAGGCACGAAAGCGUGGGUAGCAAACAGG
rnacentral:rRNA from 1 species